GGCGUGCCGGUGGUGGUCGAUCGUCUCACCGGUGAGCGCAGAAUGGCGCAGAUCUUCGUCGCCGUGCUCGGCGCCUCGAGCUUUACCUACGCGCAGGCGACGUGGACGCAGGGGCUCGCCGACUGGAUCAGCGCUCAUGUUGGCGCCUUCGCGGCGAUCGGCGGCAUACCGGCGCUGCUGGUGCCUGACAACACCAAGGUCGCGGUCAUCAAGGCGAGCCUGUACGACCCGCAGAUCAAUCGGACCUAUGCGGAG
rnacentral:misc_RNA from 1 species